UCAGGACACAGCCCAGCCGGCAGCUGCCAGAGUCACUGCCUAAAGGAGGUUUUGACCGAGGAGCAGCAGAGCCCUCUGAGGGCCCCUGUGCUUCUAAAAUGAACUUGAGUUACCUGGAAAUAAGAAGCUCAACAAUUGUAACAUUCUCGGGCUGCCAGCAACUCCAUGUCUGAAGCCCAGCCUGGAUCGAGCCCUGGAGAAGCCUCGAGGGUGGGCCGAGGUGGUGGCCCGUCCAGCCCUCCUGGACAGGCCCAGUGGCUGGGACAGAGGCCUCCGAGGUGCCGGGUGUGCCGGCCCCACGAUGGUGCACCUGCCGCCACCCCGGUGAGAUGGGCAUCACCCAGGGAGGCGCAGAGAAGCCGGCAGCGCAGCCAGGACUGACACGUAAUCCCGACACCUGGGCCAUCGGCAAGAACUGUCAGCCUACUUGACCUCUUUUUGUGACAAAUCAGAUCCUCCCCCAAGAACAGACCAGUGUCUGUCAGCAUCAACCCCCACAGACACCUCUGCUGGUGUGGCAGGUGACAUUGCCACAGUGGGGCCCUGAGUCAGGCGGCAAGUCUCUGUAACAAACAGCUCCAGGAGCAGUCAUGCUAGUGGGGGGCUCAGCCUGUGCAGGCCCUGGGACCUGGGUAAAGUCGAGGUGCAGCAUCAGAGUCCGGGGCCCCUGCACCCCAGGCCAAAGGUUGCCCUCAUCCCACAGAGCCUUCCGUUGCAGCUGGUUCAGGCCCCGGGGCCAGCCGGGCAUCUCGCCCUGAAAACCACAGGCUCCGUGCAGAGGGGAACCCGAGAGAGGCCUGCAGAUGCCACACAUGAUGCUGGUGUCACAUUGAAAUAGUUUCGGCAGGGGGCGGUGGCGCACGCCUGGAAUCCCAGCACUUAUGGAGGCCAAGGCAGGCGGAUCACCUGAGGCCAGGAGUUCAAGACCAGCCUGGCCAACAUGGUGAAACCCCAUCUCUACUAAAAAUAUAAAAAUCAGCUGGGCGUGGUGGUGCACGCCUGUAAUCCCAGCUACUCUGGAGGCUGAGGCAGGAAAAUAGCUUGAGCAUGGGAGGCAGAGGUUGCAGUGAGCUGAGAUCACACCACUGCACUCCAGCCUGGGUGAAGAGUGAGACUCUGUCUCAAAAAAAAUAAAAAGAAAAAAAAGAAAUAGUUUGACCCCAGAGUCAUUCUGGCACAACCUAAAAAGCCGACUCUUUAACAUUUGAGCUUUUAAAAAUACCAAAUAACCUGGGAAAGUGACACGCUGUCCCUGUGGCCAUGGGGCCAUGUGAAGGGUGACGUGUCUUGCGCAGAUGCCCUGUGUGCGGCCCUCACUGAAGCUGCAGGGUCUGCUGCCGCUCACAGCUCUGGACUCCAGACGUCUGCCUCUCGGGACACUUGGGACUCGAUUCCACAGCUCCAGAAAACCCAGGAAACCCGAAGGCGACCUCAACACCGUUCGUUCUCUCAGUAGCAUACGUGAUAAAUGAAGUAAAAACUCCUUUAAAGCGAGGGUUUGGGGAAACAGAACUGUUGUGUCUCAGACGGCGUUAACCAAGUUGCAAUCAUUUUACAAUUGGGAAACUUUCUAAGAAAACUAUCUACACAUCUGCUUACAAAUCAAAGCCAGAGUGUUUUCUACCGUCAGGAAACUGGGAGAGGCUCAGGAAUGAGGGGGAGGCAGUCAAGAAAUCGCUAAUUAAAACCAGCGCUUUCCCACCCUUCUGGCUGGGAGGGGGCCGGGAAAGACGAGGAAGUGGAAGAGGUCAGGAGAAGGCAGUGAGUGAACAGAUUACUGUCCCAGUCUCCACCUUUGUGUUUAUGUUUGUACUUUUCCAUGAUAAAAGCUUUGUUCUGAACAUCGGCCUCCCCCGGGCUGUGCAGAGCUCCACGGCCCCGGCUACCCCAGUGGCUCCAGUGGCCGACAGGGUUGAUUCUACUCACCUGAGCAGGUGUGUCAGGCCUCUGAGCCGAAGCUCAGCCAUUGUAACCCCUGUGACCUGCACAUGUAUGUCCAGAUGGCCUGCAAGAGCCAAGAAGUCUGGGGCAACCCAAAUCUACAAAAGAAUGAAACAGCCAGCUCCUGUCUUAACUGAUUGACCAACCUUACGACAUUCCAUGAUGACCUGUUCCUGCCCUGUCCCACCUGAUCGAUCGACCUCGUGACAUUCUUCUUCCGGACAAUGAGUCUUAUGAUCUCCCCACCAUGUACCUUGUGACCCCCUCCUCUGCUGACAAUAGGUAACCACCUUUCACUGUAACUUUCCACUGUUUACCCCAGUCCUAUAAAACGGCCCCACCCCUACCUCUCUUUGCUGACUCUUUUCGGACUCAGCCCACUUGCACCCAAGUGAAUAAACAGCCUUGUUGCUCACACAAAGCCUGUUGGUGUCUCUUCACAUGGACGCACGUGACACAAAGUGCUGGGGUUACAGGCGUGAGCUGCCACGCCCGGCCCUCUUUGCUCUUUCGUACGAAUUUUAUUUUUUAUUUUUAUUUUUUUUCUUGAGACAGAGUCUUGCUCUGUCGCCCAGGCUGGAGUGCAGUGGCGCGAUCUCGGCUCACUGCAAGCUCCGCCUCCCGGGUUCACGCCAGUCUCCUGCCUCAGUUACCUGAGUAGCUGGGACUACAGGCGCCCGUCACCACACCUGGCUAAUUUUUUGUAUUUUUUUAGUGGAGACGGGGUUUCACCGUGUUAGCCAGGAUGGUCUUGAUCUCCUGACCUCGUGAUCCGCCCGCCUCGGCCUCCCACAGUGCUGGGAUUUACAGGCGGGAGCCACCACACCGGCCUUCGUAUGAAUUUUAGAACCAGUUUUUCCAAUUUCAUGAAAAAUUAUCUUAGGAAUUAUAUUAAUUUCGGGAAAACAGUUAUCUUUGGGUCCCACGUAAACACAGGGAGUGGGAAACAGUCGUGUGGCAUCUGUGGCACAGAACACAGAGACCAGGCCCCGGCGGCUCUGCCAAGCGAGGCUUCGUCCCGGAGACUCGGCGUGUGGCCUCCGGGUCACAGAAACGGCCUUCGUAGCUGUUUGAUGUCACACCAACGAGACUUCAUUCGUGUUAGCAGAACUUUGGGGACGACGUGACCCUGCGUGACAGCCGGGAACACGGGAGCCAGAUGUGGGGACAGCGGCGAGCUGGCACCCCGGAUGGAAAGCCGGACAGAAAGGCGGACAGAGCUGCAGCCACGACCAGGAGUAGCAGCAGGUCCUCGGACGAGAGGCAGCCCCCGUUCCCGGACCAAACUGAGGGUCGGGCCCCAUAACGAGACGCAGCUGAACUGGGGAGGAAGCACGUGUUUAUUUCCCCAACCGGUUACAGGGAGAAGGCCUGGACAUUAUCUCCAGACCAACUCAAAAUUACAGUCCUCCAGAGCUUAUCUACCUUCCACACGCUACGUCUACGUGUAAGUGUGCAUUCAUCUGAAGACUAAGUGACUAACUUCUAAUCUGUAACUGAGGUCUGAGUCCUGAAGACCUUCCUCUGGAGCCUCAGUAAGUUUAAUCUAGAUGGGUCCAGGUGCUGGGUCAUUACCCUUAUCCUGUCUCCUGCUAAGUCACGGAGGUUGGAGAAGUUCCUUCGGGCCCCCAAUAAGCUUGUUUGUGGAGGCCUGAGGAGUUCCUUCAGACCCGCGAUAAAAUUUGUUUUAUCCUAAAUGGGUCCUAUUAAGAAUUCCUUUGUUAUUUUUUCAUGCUUUAAGGCCCAGGAAAGGGCUAGGCAAAACUCUUGGUAUGCUUCUGUUACAUUCCAGCCUUUGUAUAAGGGCACUGGCUUUUAACUCCCUCAGUACUGAAACUGGUCAUGGAGGCCCACGUUAGUGAGACCUGGCCUACCGCACUCCCACCCAGCCCACGGGCGUGUAAAUCUGUGCAGCCAGACACACCCUCACCCUGCAACCACCCCUGCAAACCCCCCUUCCCCACUUCCCCAUUGUGAGAUGUGGCAGCCCAGGGCGGAGUGGGUAUUUGCCCUAAAGACAAACACCGCUGGAGGCACGGAGCCGACACAGGCGCCAUGAGCUGACACAGGCACGGAGCUGACACAGGCACGGUGAGCUGACACAGGCACGGAGCCGACACAGGCACCAUGGUGUCUGUGGGACUGUGACUGCCGAAGGCCAGAAUCAGCCUACGCACACACACACGGGGCUGUUGACUUAGUCACCCCCCACCCAACACAGCAGCCAUGCCUGGGAGGCCACCCCGCACCCACCAGGAGGGUCUCCAGGAGGGCCUGGUGUGGGCCAGGCUGAGCUCAGGACGCCGUGAUGGUCGUGCCUCCUUCUGUGUCAAAGGGGAGGGGCAGAUAGAAUACGUGUUUUUCUUUGCUUUUAGCUACAUAGUCUGAAGGAUCCACAGGAGCACAAUAAAGGAAGAGCCACCUGGGGCUGAGGAAGAAUCAAGACUCUUGCCACCUGUGAUGUGGAGUGCUCCGUCUCUGAAAGGUCUUCACUAAGGCGGUGGCAUGUCACAGCUCCAUGAUACAGAGCAGGGCUGCCCCGGAGAAGUGUGCGGAGAGCAGCAGCUCAGGGCAGGGCAGCCGUCACAUUUAUACCCACUUUUAACUACAUGCAAAUUAAGAGGUGGGGCAUUCAGAAUUUCCUAGAAAAGGGGUGGUACUUCUGGGUCAUUGCCAUGGAAAGGGGCAGUAACAUCUGGGUGUUGGCAUGGCAAUGGUAAAGUGUCACAAACUCAUGGGCCUAUAGGAGCCAGCUGGCUGCAGGUGGCUGUUCUGACAGACUGGAACCUGCUUACCUGGCUAACCCUUGUCGCCUGAUAGGUCAUCCAAGGAGAGAACUUGAACCAAAAUUUGGGUAAAGCAAUCUCUGUGGCAGUUUGGUUUUAUAAAACAAGACAAAACGAAACAAAAAAAAUUGUUUUACCCUCUUUCUCUUUAGUUUCAAAUGAGUUUCCAACGUUUACAUUCUAGUUAGACCGUAAAUAACGAGUCUUCGCACCAGCAGCUUAGUAACAGCAGGUUUAAAGCAAGAAAGAAAAGAGAGGACCAGAGAGCACCUUAGAACACUGCUUAACCACAGCACAGGUUCACCACUGGAGGUCUGAAUUUUCCUCGCUGUCAUUUGCCCGUCAGCUUAAAACAUGCACAAUGGGCUGUAAUAUGUAACCAGCUGGAGUCCCUAAGAGGACGACAAAAUCAGGGGCCGGGAUGUUGGAAACUGUUUUUCCCUUUUUGGGCUGGGCCCCUGGAUUGAACAGGAAAAUAGAAAAGAAAGGAAAGCGGAGGAGAAAGGUUUGCAGCAGGGAGGAGAAACAAGAAAGGAAGGAGGGAGGCUGGCGAGCCUCCAGCCACUGCGUGGUGCGGGGCCAGCACCCCCUCACCCUUGAUCAUCUCCCAUCAGGGAAAGCCUCCGCACCCCAGACCUGCGCGGUGUGGGAUGAAUCCCUCCCACCUCCGCAGAUCACCUGUCAAGGUCAGCUGUUCGCAGCCACAGGGAGCUAAGGGUGCUUUUGACCAAGAGGAAUAACGCUUUGGUGGCGGACGGGAGGAGGACGUUGGAGGAAGGAGAGAGAGGUCAGGGUGCACACACUCAUGCGCACAAACCAACAGCUGCGUCCAAAAAACCUCCUUUAAGGGGCUCGGUUUCAAACGGCCCCUCGGGCGACUGAACCCGCACUGAGCAGAGGCCCUAGGGUGCCACAAACACAAACGAAUUCAAAUGUAUCAAAUGCCCAACUGGUGUCACUCACAGCCAAGUCUAAACAGAGGAGGGCCUCAGCCACACCCCAAAGAGGCAGAGGGUCCCUGGGUGAACUCCAACUAAGGCACCCAGUUCCAAAGUUUAUUAACUUCUCCAAAGGUCACUUCCUUUGCACCAGCAAAGCGUUGAAGGCAGCAGGAAGAGAAGGACAGGAUUCCCGGACGAAAGCAUCUCGGCGGCCACGGGGCAGCUCCUCCCAUUCCAGCCACAGGCGCAGCAGCCAGGAGCAGCUGGAACUCACAGAGUCAAAGAAACUUGAACUGUUCACGGCCUUUAAUAAUUGAGCAAGGUACUCUCCUGUGAACAAAAUUUGGAGCAUGUUUGUUUCUCUCCCUGGUUCCUCUAGAAUUUGGAAACUAUUUGUGAGUACUCUUAUGGUGAUACAGUUGGUUGCAUCAGUGCAAUAAGAAUCCAUUUUUCUUGGCCAGGCGUGGUGGCUCAUGCCUGUAAUCCCAGCACUUUGGGAAGCCGAGGCGGGCAGAUCACAAGGUCAGGAGAUUGAGACCAUCCUGGCUAACACGGUGAAACCCCGUCUCUACUAAAAAUACAAAAAAUUAGCCGGGCGUGGUGGCGGGCGCCUGUAGUUCCAGCGACUCGGGAGGCUGAGGCAAGAGAAUGGUGUGAACCCAGGAAGUGGAGGUUGCAGUGAGCCGAGAUCACGCCACUGCACUCCAGCCUGGGUGACAGAGCCAGACUCUGUCUCAAAAAAAAAAAAAAAAAAUCUCGGAUACGCUGAACAAAGACAACUAUCAUUCCCAUGCCCUCGGAGAGGGAUUUAACCGAGACAGGAGAUGGGGAGGCAGGUGCGGGACAAUCUCAUCCUAGAAAGACCGUCAGGGGGAAGCUCUUCUGGGCAGCGGCUCCUCAGGGAAGUUCUGCUGCCGCAUUCUGAUGUUACAGAAAUGCUUCCUCGCCCUUCCUGGGAGGUGGUCUAAUGCCACCCCAAACCUCCAUCACUGACAGCCUCUCAGCAUGGGGGAACUGGGUGUGAGGAAGCUGGGGAGGGCACUGGGGGAGGGUACAGGGGAAGAGGCACAGAGGGAGGACACGGGAAGAGGGUGUGGGGGAAGGACAUGGGGGGAGGGCACAGGGGAA
rnacentral:lncRNA from 10 species